UACGUAGGGGGCAAGCGUUGUCCGGAAUCAUUGGGCGUAAAGAGCGUGUAGGCGGCCCGAUAAGUCCGCUGUGAAAGUCCAGGGCUCAACCCUGGGAUGCCGGUGAAUACUGUCGGGCUCGAGUCCGGAAGAGGAGUGUGGAAUUCCUGGUGUAGCGGCGAAAUGCGCAGAUAUCAGGAGGAACACCAAUGGCGAAGGCAGCACUCUGGGACGUGACUGACGCUGAGACGCGAAAGCGUGGGGAGCAAACAGG
rnacentral:rRNA from 1 species